AACGAACGCUGGCGGCAUGCCUAACACAUGCGAGUCGAACGAGACCUUCGGGUCUAGUGGCGCACGGGUGCGUAACGCGUGGGAACCUGCCCUUAGGUUCGGAAUAACUCCCCGAAAGGGGUGCUAAUACCGGAUAAUGUCUUCGGACCAAAGAUUUAUCGCCUUUGGAUGGGCCCGCGUUGGAUUAGCUAGUUGGUAGGGUAAAAGCCUACCAAGGCGACGAUCCAUAGCUGGUCUGAGAGGAUGAUCAGCCACACUGGGACUGAGACACGGCCCAGACUCCUGCGGGAGGCAGCAGUGGGGAAUAUGGGACAAUGGGCGAAAGCCGGAUCCAGCAAUGCCGCGGGAGUGAUGAAGGCCUUAGGGUUGUAAAGCUCUUUUACCCGGGAUGAUAAGGACAGUACCGGGAGAAUAAGCUCCGGCUAACUCCGG
rnacentral:rRNA from 1 species